UGCUCAGAUUGAACGCUGGCGGCAUGCUUUACACAUGCAAGUCGAACGGUAACAGGUCUUCGGAUGCUGACGAGUGGCGAACGGGUGAGUAACACAUCGGAACGUGCCUAGUAGUGGGGGAUAACUACUCGAAAGAGUAGCUAAUACCGCAUGAGAUCUAAGGAUGAAAGCAGGGGACCUUCGGGCCUUGCGCUACUAGAGCGGCUGAUGGCAGAUUAGGUAGUUGGUGGGAUAAAAGCUUACCAAGCCGACGAUCUGUAGCUGGUCUGAGAGGACGACCAGCCACACUGGGACUGAGACACGGCCCAGACUCCUACGGGAGGCAGCAGUGGGGAAUUUUGGACAAUGGGCGAAAGCCUGAUCCAGCAAUGCCGCGUGCAGGAUGAAGGCCCUCGGGUUG
rnacentral:rRNA from 1 species